ACUAAGGUCGCUCUAAAUUGCUUGCCACUCCCAGGCUAGUCGCAGGCCUUUGGAGGACCCACAGGAUGAGGAUUGUAGAGGAUAGUGUAUUGGGUGUGAGCUCGACGUGAACGCAACAGUCGGGUUGUUGGGCCGAACUGCGGAAAAACCUCGGCUUGCGUGCCCUGCCUCUGAUGAAGCUUAUGUUGGUAGGGACAUCUGAGACUGUUGAUGAAUGCCAACAGCUCUGAUGGCGGCACAUGCCGAGUCACCGAGUGGGCCUGGGCCUCUGUUAAUGACCUCGGCCGGAGCCACUUCCUCCUGGGAGGCGGGUAAUUGGGCUAGUCCACGUGGUUCUCUUAAGUGGCUGCAUUCUGCAGUGCACCGUUAUUUACAUAAGUCAUUGUUAAUUUUAACUGUGCAAUGCUGUCUUUAUAAAACGUUAAGUGCACCCGUUACAGCUAUGAAAUAAUGGGCGGUGGUGUAAACGACUUGCAUAGGUGAUAAUAAAAGGACAUAAUUGGAAGAAAAUAAACAACCAAACCUUUUUCCUAGGAAUGUUGCUGGGCACGAGAGCCAUGUGGCUUUGGAUGGCGUCUGAUGGACAGUUCUGUGCCAAAGGAGGGAGAAUGCCUGCUGUGGUCCUAAAGCACAAGCAUCCCACCCUGGCCAUGGGCAGACAGGCGCUGAAAAGAACCAACUGGGAGUUGGGAUGGUGGACUUGAGUCUUUGAUACGUCUGGACCAGCUUUUAAUUCUUUCCGCUGUUGGACACACGUUUUCCUCUGGAUGGCAGCCUUGGGGUGCCAAUUUUGGAGACAUUUAAAAUAAAGGUGUGAAGAGUUAGUUCGUCGAGAAGGUGGCCCGGAACAAAGAAUUUCAGGCACGAAGGUAUGGUAGUUUCGAGUUUGGUUUCCGUGUUGGGUGGUUUCAAGCCGAUACAAUGAUGAUAACAUAGUUCAGCAGACUCACAGUGAUGAACAGUACUGUCUUUCGCUCCUAUCUGAUGUAUCCGGCUGCAGUAAUCAUUUAUAACCUCGAAGGGGAACCCACCGUGAUCUCAGAAAAUGGUUCAGGGGUUUGGCUAACUGAUGUCGUAUAAAUGUUCCCUGUGGUAUUUUAAGGAUUAAGAACUCAUAUUUGGAGAAGUGAAGGUUGAUUAAUUUUAUGAAGACAUUUUUUAAUAGAUUUCCUUUUUUAGAGAAGGUAAGAGAGAAACAUUGAUUUGUUCCACUUAUUUACGCAUUCAUCAGUUAUAUAUAUGCUGAGGAUCGAACCUGUGACCUUGGCAUACCAGGACGACAUUCUAAUCAACAGCUACCUGGCCAGGGCGUUGUAAAAAAAAAUUUAUGGAGUACGUACAAGUCUAGAUUAUACCAGAAUUAUUUAGUUGUAUUUUACUUCGUUAGAUUUAAUUUUGCAUUUAGAGUCACAGCAAAAUUGACAGAGUGCAGAGUUUCCGUGUGCCCUGUAAUUGCACACCUCACUGUCAGCAUCCAGCCGUCAUAGUGGGUCCUUCGUUAGACUUGCAAACCUAUGAGGACACACUGACCAUUCAGUCUAUAGCUUACACUGGGGUUCACUCACCGUGUACUCUGGGUUUGGACAAACGUAUAAUGACACGUUCACCACCGUACUAUAUAGAAUAGGUUCACUGCCCUAAGUGUUGUUUUUCCAGAUGCAAUAACAGAGGGAAUAAGGUAGGGCACGUUUCUAAUGACUGUUCUGUUCCUCAUCUCCAGGUAGACCUGUUCCCCUCCAGGAGGUUUCCAGGUGAGUCGGGCAUGGGUCUAGUGAUAACGUAGACUGUAACCAGUGAUGUACUGAUUCUGCCAAAUGAACUAGAAUGAUAUCACUCACGAAACCGUUCCAUUUUGAUUCUGAGGUUACUUGACUAACAAGCCCCACAGAAGCUUUUUUUGGUCACCACUAACGCUUUAUCUUUGCUUUCAGGCAUUCAUGACAGCGGUCAGGCGGCGGACAGGCCAGCUGAAAGGUAAGCGUGGGAAAGAGCAGUACCGUUUUACUCCGGAAUACAUGAUGAUCUACCUCACCUUGAACUCUCUCACUGAUUCCUUGAUGAAUAUAAAAGAUCUGAUAUUCUGUGGACUUCAGAUGCCAUGAGAACUGAAAUGUGGAAGUGUGACUAAAAAUGGCCAUUUUCUUGCAGGCAGCUGGAUGGAUGCCCGUGAGGUAGAAGAUCAAAUAACUGAAUUUUAAUAAAACUUGAUGUGUAAACUG